ACUCCUACGGGAGGCAGCAGUGGGGAAUAUUGGGCAAUGGGCGCAAGCCUGACCCAGCCAUGCCGCGUGAGUGAUGAAGGCCUUCGGGUUGUAAAGCUCUUUCGCCGAUGAAGAUAAUGACGGUAGUCGGAGAAGAAGCCCCGGCUAACUUCGUGCCAGCAGCCGCGGUAAU
rnacentral:rRNA from 1 species